rnacentral:piRNA from 1 species
CUGGCAGUGAGAGAGAGAGGGAAG